UGUCAUGUGCUUAUAAGCCAUCCAUAUCCUUUUGGUGACAUGUCUCUUCAAUAAUUUUCUUCACAUGUAAAAUUGGAUACUCUGUUUGGUUAUUAGUAAGGUUUUUUAUUUUUAUUCAUUUUUUUAAUAAUCAGAGUAGAUGUCCAUUAUCAGAUAUAUAAUUUGCAAAUCCCUUCUCCAUCUUUACGGUUUCUCAAUGGAGCUCUGAUAGCUGUGUCUUUCAAGAAAUAUGCUACUUCUUUCGUGGUACACGGAGACAUGGAAGAACAUUCCUGUUGCUCCACAUCCUCACCAACAUUUCGUGUUCUGUUGUCAGUGCUCUGGAUUCUGGAUUAAAUUUUCAUCAAAAGGGACGCCUGGGUGGCUCAGUUGGUUAAGCAGCUGCCUCUGGCUCAGGUCACGAUCCCAGCAUCCU